GGAAUUCUCCAAAAGUCGCAGGUCAAAGCUAGAAGAGCACCACACUGGCAGUGUGGGGGUCAGGGGUUCGAGUCCCCUUAGCUCCA
rnacentral:tRNA from 1 species